rnacentral:rRNA from 1 species
GACGAACCGUGCGAACGUUAUUCGGAAUCACUGGGCUUAAAGCGCGUGUAGGCGGGACGGCACGUCGGUCGCUGAAAGCCCCCGGCUCAACCGGGGAACGGGCGCCGAUACGACCGCCCUGGAGGAACGUAGGGGGACCUGGAACUUCCGGUGGAGCGGUGAAAUGCGUUGAGAUCGGAAGGAACGCCCGUGGCGAAAGCGGCUCACUGGACCAUUACUGACGCUGAGGCACGAAAGCUAGGGGAGCAAACAGG